GUUGUUGGGUAGGGGAGCGUUCUGUAAGCCGUUGAAGGUGACCUGUGAGGGUUGCUGGAGGUAUCAGAAGUGCGAAUGCUGACAUAAGUAACGAUAAUGCGGGUGAAAAACCCGCACGCCGGAAGACCAAGGGUUCCUGUCCAACGUUAAUCGGGGCAGGGUGAGUCGACCCCUAAGGCGAGGCUGAAAAGCGUAGUCGAUGGGAAACAGGUUAAUAUUCCUGUACUUGGUGUUACUGCGAAGGGGGGACGGAGAAGGCUAGGCUGGCCGGGCGACGGUUGUCCCGGUUUAAGCGUGUAGGGGGAGUGACCAGGUAAAUCCGGUUGCUUAUCAACCCUGAGGCGUGAUGACGAUGCACCACGGUGCAGAAGCAGUUGAUGCCAUGCUUCCAGGAAAAGCCUCUAAGCAUCAGGUAACAUUAAAUCGUACCCCAAACCGACACAGGUGGUCAGGUAGAGAAUACUCAGGCGCUUGAGAGAACUCGGGUGAAGGAACUAGGCAAAAUGGUGCCGUAACUUCGGGAGAAGGCACGCUGGCGUUAGGUGAAAGGACUAGCUCCUGGAGCUGAAGCCAGUCGCAGAUACCAGCUGGCUGCAACUGUUUAAUAAAAACACAGCACUGUGCAAACACGAAAGUGGACGUAUACGGUGUGACGCCUGCCCGGUGCUGGAAGGUUAAUUGAUGGGGUCAGCCGCAAGGCGAAGCUCUUGAUCGAAGCCCCAGUAAACGGCGGCCGUAACUAUAACGGUCCUAAGGUAGCGAAAUUCCUUGUCGGGUAAGUUCCGACCUGCACGAAUGGCGUAAUGAUGGCCAGGCUGUCUCCACCCGAGACUCAGUGAAAUUGAACUCGCUGUGAAGAUGCAGUGUACCCGCGGCAAGACGGAAAGACCCCGUGAACCUUUACUAUAGCUUGACACUGAACAUUGAGCCUUGAUGUGUAGGAUAGGUGGGAGGCCUUGAAGUGUGGACGCCAGUCUGCAUGGAGCCAACCUUGAAAUACCACCCUUUAAUGUUUGAUGUUCUAACUCGGCCCCAUGAUCUGGGGUGAGGACAGUGUCUGGUGGGUAGUUUGACUGGGGCGGUCUCCUCCCAAAGAGUAACGGAGGAGCACGAAGGUUAGCUAAUCACGGUCGGACAUCGUGAGGUUAGUGCAAAGGCAUAAGCUAGCUUGACUGCGAGAGUGACGGCUCGAGCAGGUACGAAAGUAGGUCUUAGUGAUCCGGUGGUUCUGAAUGGAAGGGCCAUCGCUCAACGGAUAAAAGGUACUCCGGGGAUAACAGGCUGAUACCGCCCAAGAGUUCAUAUCGACGGCGGUGUUUGGCACCUCGAUGUCGGCUCAUCACAUCCUGGGGCUGAAGUAGGUCCCAAGGGUAUGGCUGUUCGCCAUUUAAAGUGGUACGCGAGCUGGGUUUAGAACGUCGUGAGACAGUUCGGUCCCUAUCUGCCGUGGGCGUUGGAAGAUUGAGAGGGGCUGCUCCUAGUACGAGAGGACCGGAGUGGACGAAUCACUGGUGUUCGGGUUGUCAUGCCAAUGGCAUUGCCCGGUAGCUAAAUUCGGAAGAGAUAACCGCUGAAAGCAUCUAAGCGGGAAACUUGCCUCGAGAUGAGUCUUCCCUGGGGCUUAAAGCCCCCUGAAGGAACGUUAAAGACUAUGACGUUGAUAGGCUGGGUGUGUAAGUGCAGCGAUGUAUUGAGCUAACCAGUACUAAUGAUCCGUGAGGCUUAACCUU
rnacentral:rRNA from 11 species